AUUCAGAAUGAACUGUUUUAAUUCUUUUAUCUACAGUUUGCUGACUCUGGUAUCUUAAGUUUGUGAGUUAAUUUUCAUGGGAUCUGUUUCAUGUUGGGUGGCCAGUAUAAGGGACUGAGCUCAAGACAAUAAUGGCUGCAGUAAAAAAAUUAAUGCUGAGGUGACAUUCUAUACUUUGUUUUUUAAAUUUUUGUUUAUUUACUUUCAUUUAAUUUGAAAAAUGGAAAGAGAGAGGGAGAUCGAGACAGAGAUCCUCCAUCCACUGAUUCUCCACUUAUAUCCCUACAGCAGUCAUAUCUGGACCAGAUAAAGAAACACCUGCUCACAUCCUUUGGAACUAUAGCUUUCCAGUAAGCACGCUGGGAAUCUCUACACCAACGACUUUUCUAAGCUACCCACAAAAACUUCAAAGAAAAUGAGGAUUUCACAGAUUCGCCAGAUAUAUACUUCCUUCCUCUUAGGAACCCUGUAUCUCUAUCUUUAUUGCUGUUUUGGCUUUUAGAUUAAAGAUAACAAAUAAAUGGAGGAAGAUAUAUAAACAAAUGAAGUUGUAUGAGUCAGCUACAUUGGAUAAAGAUCUCCCAGCUCCAGUCAAACCUUCAGAUGACUUCAGCCCAAGAUACAACUUCAUGAGAGAAUUUGAACCUGAACUCCCAUUUGCAAGCCACUCCUGGAUUCCUAACCUGCAGAAACUUAUGUGCGAUGGUAAAUAUCUGUUGUUUCAAGUCAUUGUAUUCUAGGACAAUUUGUUAUGCAGCAAUAUGUAGCUGACACAAGUGGGAACAGGGUAUGCACUAAGGCUCAAUCAGUUUGCAUGAGAUAAACCACAUAGAUAAUUGUAGGUCCUGUUAGUACUUUAGUUCAAGAACAACAGUGAGUUGUUAAAGGGCGUCCAGCAGAGGAAAGAUGACAUUAAUUGUGUUCUUAAACUUCUUUCUCUUGCACAGUGCUGAACACAGAGCUUUACACUAGGUAGGCUGUAGCUAGUAUAGGAUCUCAGUAACAGAACACAAAGAAGAUUUGAGACUCCCAGACUAAGA